UGUUACAACCGGGUUAAAAUUACCCAUCACAAAAUGAGCAACCCGGAACUUCUCUCUCAUAUCUCCUCUUUUCUUUGAAACAGAGGUCCAAAGUCCUAUGUCUGAAACUUCCUCUGGAAGACAAACAAGAGCUGUCCCUUUCCAACUUCCAGAAGCCGAAUUUGCUACUCCGAAAAGAAAAAAACAAAGACACUCAACUGUGGAGAACGCUGCUGAAGGAGGAGGAACAAGGGUUGAAGCCCACAACUCAAUUCUUUCACUGAUCGUCAUAGUAGAGAGAAGAAGAAAAAGAGACAAAUGAUAUGUUGAAAGAGCCUCCAGUAGUCUCUCACUCGCCUAACUUUGCACUCCGUUUCUGAACAAGUAAAACCCAAGUUUUGAAGAACUUGCAGUACUCUUCUUCAACUCCAAUUGUGGUGGUUGACACAAGUUUGCAUCUUAAUUUUCCACAUGUGCUCUUAUGGAAAAGUUUAAUUGAAUCAACAUAGAGGAGACAUU